GAUGAACGCUGGCGGCGUGCCUAAUACAUGCAAGUCGAGCGAACGGACGAGAAGCUUGCUUCUCUGACGUUAGCGGCGGACGGGUGAGUAACACGUGGAUAACCUACCUAUAAGACUGGGAUAACUUCGGGAAACCGGAGCUAAUACCGGAUAAUAUUUUGAACCGCAUGGUUCAAAAGUGAAAGACGGUCUUGCUGUCACUUAUAGAUGGAUCCGCGCUGCAUUAGCUAGUUGGUAAGGUAACGGCUUACCAAGGCAACGAUGCAUAGCCGACCUGAGAGGGUGAUCGGCCACACUGGAACUGAGACACGGUCCAGACUCCUACGGGAGGCAGCAGUAGGGAAUCUUCCGCAAUGGGCGAAAGCCUGACGGAGCAACGCCGCGUGAGUGAUGAAGGUCUUCGGAUCGUAAAACUCUGUUAUUAGGGAAGAACAUAUGUGUAAGUAACUGUGCACAUCUUGACGGUACCUAAUCAGAAAGCCACGGCUAACUACGUGCCAGCAGCCGCGGUAAUACGUAGGUGGCAAGCGUUAUCCGGAAUUAUUGGGCGUAAAGCGCGCGUAGGCGGUUUUUUAAGUCUGAUGUGAAAGCCCACGGCUCAACCGUGGAGGGUCAUUGGAAACUGGAAAACUUGAGUGCAGAAGAGGAAAGUGGAAUUCCAUGUGUAGCGGUGAAAUGCGCAGAGAUAUGGAGGAACACCAGUGGCGAAGGCGACUUUCUGGUCUGUAACUGACGCUGAUGUGCGAAAGCGUGGGGAUCAAACAGGAUUAGAUACCCUGGUAGUCCACGCCGUAAACGAUGAGUGCUAAGUGUUAGGGGGUUUCCGCCCCUUAGUGCUGCAGCUAACGCAUUAAGCACUCCGCCUGGGGAGUACGACCGCAAGGUUGAAACUCAAAGGAAUUGACGGGGACCCGCACAAGCGGUGGAGCAUGUGGUUUAAUUCGAAGCAACGCGAAGAACCUUACCAAAUCUUGACAUCCUUUGACAACUCUAGAGAUAGAGCCUUCCCCUUCGGGGGACAAAGUGACAGGUGGUGCAUGGUUGUCGUCAGCUCGUGUCGUGAGAUGUUGGGUUAAGUCCCGCAACGAGCGCAACCCUUAAGCUUAGUUGCCAUCAUUAAGUUGGGCACUCUAAGAUGACUGCCGGUGACAAACCGGAGGAAGGUGGGGAUGACGUCAAAUCAUCAUGCCCCUUAUGAUUUGGGCUACACACGUGCUACAAUGGACAAUACAAAGGGCAGCGAAACCGCGAGGUCAAGCAAAUCCCAUAAAGUUGUUCUCAGUUCGGAUUGUAGUCUGCAACUCGACUACAUGAAGCUGGAAUCGCUGGUAAUCGUAGAUCAGCAUGCUACGGUGAAUACGUUCCCGGGUCU
rnacentral:rRNA from 1 species